CAGUCGCCGCGGGAACACGGAGGGAGCUAGCGUUGUUCGGAAUUACUGGGCGUAAAGCGCGCGUAGGCGGUUACUCAAGUCAGAGGUGAAAGCCCGGGGCUCAACCCCGGAACUGCCUUUGAAACUAGGUGACUAGAAUCUUGGAGAGGUCAGUGGAAUUCCGAGUGUAGAGGUGAAAUUCGUAGAUAUUCGGAAGAACACCAGUGGCGAAGGCGACUGACUGGACAAGUAUUGACGCUGAGGUGCGAAAGCGUGGGGAGCAAACAGGAUUAGAUACCCGCGUAGUCCCUGUCUCUUAUAC
rnacentral:rRNA from 1 species